CCCUUAGAUGUCCUGGGCUGCACGCGCGCUACACUGAUGUGUCCAGUAAGCACCUAACCUCUUCCGAAAGGAACGGGUAACCUUUGCAAAGCACAUCGUGAUGGGGAUAGAUUAUUGCAAUUAUUAGUCUUGAACGAGGAAUUCCUAGUAAGCACAAGUCAUCAGCUUGUGUUGAUUACGUCCCUGCCCUUUGUACACACCGCCCGUCGCUCCUACCGAUGAGUCGUCCGGUGAAGUUCGUAGACCUCGUGAUCGCGGAUCACUGGGGGAAGCAAAAUGAACCUCGCGGUUUAGAGGAAGGAGAAGUCGUAACA
rnacentral:rRNA from 1 species